CGCUGACGAUGCUGAUGACCACGCCGCUCACCUCCCGGUUGCGCGCGGGCGAUGAAACCCUCGAGCACCGCGUGAUCCGCGCCUGGUCGGCCGGGCUGAUGUGGGUGUUCGGCUUCCGCCUGCGCCGCGUCGGCACGCCGCUGCCGGGCGCGACCAUGUUUGUCGCCAACCACGUCAGCUGGAUCGAUAUCGAGACGUUGCACAGCCAGCGCAUGAUGGGCUUCGUCGCCAAGCGCGAAAUCCAGAGCUGGCCGGUGGUCGGCUGGCUCGCGCAGCGCGCCGAAACCAUUUUCCACGCCCGCGGCAGCACCGAAUCGCUGGGCGGCGUGCUGCACGAAAUGCUGUCGCGUCUGCGCAACGGCCGCAGCGUCGGGGUGUUUCCGGAAGGCGGUGCCCGCGGCGGCGGCGAGAUCGGCCCGUUCCACGCGCGCAUCUUUCUGGCGGCGGUCGAGGCCGGCGUGCCGGUGCAGCCGGUGGCGCUGCUUUACGGCGAAGGCGGCAGUGCCCAGCACGUAGUGGCGUUCCAGCCGCGCGAAAGCUUCUUCGCCAACUUCGUGCGCCUGCUCGGCGAGCCCGCACGCAUUGCCGAAGUGCAUUUCCUCGAGCCGAUCGCGCCGGGCGAGGCGGAUGGCCGGCGACGCAUCGCGGAACUGGCGCGCAGCCGCAUCAUCGGGGCGAUACGGCGCUGAAGGACGCUUCGACGCGGUAAU
rnacentral:misc_RNA from 1 species